ensembl:lncRNA
GUCGGUCCUCAGGGCAGAGGCAGGCUGGCAGUGGGCCGGGGAGGGGGCAGGGAGCUUCAUGUAUCUCCCAUGACUCAGUCCUGUUCGAGGAGUGGGGAGUCAAGGCCAGGCCUCUGAGGUCGGGCGCCUGGGGACCUCCUGUCCUCCUCCUCCCUACUCUGCCCUCGGCCUGCUCCCCACCCAGCGCUUCCGGCAGUGCCGGGCAGGGCCUCACGCAUUCUCCGCUGGCCGCCUGGGCACGCCCUCCAGCUUUCCCCAGAUCCGCAGCCCGGAUCUGCAGCCCCGUGGCCCAAGGGCUCGGACGCUGGCCCACCGUGGACCACCUUGAGUGGGUGCCACAGCCCACAGCCUAAGGCAGAGGGGCGGUGAUGAAGAGAGGGGAUGGGGGCGGAGGGAGGGUCUUUUCUGGCCGCUGGAGCGGAGCUGCAGCUCCUGCCAGGGAAACCCUCUCUCCUCUCUGCUGCCAAGCCUUUCCCAGCCCUGCCCCUCUCCCCUCUGCUUCUCAAAUUUCAGCUUCUGCAUUACUGGCAUCACAGCCUGCCGCUGUGGUCACUGCACCAGACAGACGUUAACCCCCAGUGUGCUGGUGGGAGCAGUGCGGCUGCACGUGGGCGCGUGGUCCGGAGAGGCCGAGGGAGGAGACCGCCACCGGGAAACCUUCCUUCACUCCAGCCAGCUUCCCCUCCAGGGAGCUUGCUCGCCCUCUUUCUCCCUGUCCGCCCAGACUUGAAGCCAAAGCCCUCCCUGACCCUUUGAGUUGCUCCUUCCCUUGGCUGUCUGGCCCUGACUCUCAUCCACAGCACGUGGGUUCUUUAUCACCGUGAACCUGGCCUUGUUUCAGCAGAUGGGGUUCUCGCCCUACACAUCCUUCAGCUGCCCUCUUGCACCUGGCCUUACCUGGGCAGGGCUGGACCCCUGGGACCAGCUUGUGGGAUCUCAGUUCCCCUGACCACGAACCCGGGAUUGAACUUGGGCCAUGGCCAUGAAUGUGCAGAUUCUAACCACUGGACCAGCAGGCAUUGUGGACGCUGCGCAGUGUACACAGUUAAGUGGCCCUGUAUCCUCUACUGUCUCCGAUGUCAUCCUUCCUGCUCCUGCAAUGAAGCCUCCCAGGGACCCCCGAUGUUACCCAACAGCUGACUUGAAGGAUUG